rnacentral:lncRNA from 10 species
UUACUCCCAAAGUUACUUUGGCAUAUGUCCAGGAAUAAACACAGGCAGCUAGAGAAGAAGGCAUCUGUAGGUUAUCAACCAACAGUCACAGCAGCUAAAAUAUUGUUACCGGGGGGUCCUUGCUCCCAGAGCUCCCAAGAUGGUGGCGGGCCUCUUCCAAAAUGCUGGUGGGCCACUUUCAAGAUGGUGGCAAGCCUCGUGUUCUCUGACCUGGAGUUCUUGGCCUCACGGAUUCCAAGGAAUGGAGUCUUGGGCCAUGUGGUGAGUGUUAUAGCUCUAUUAGAAGCCAUGGGUCACGGAAGAGAACCGUGGGACCCAGUGACUAGUGUUCAGCUCGAUUAGGAUGAACCCAGGCACUUAGCCGUGCAAGAACAAUGGCAAGCCUUUAGCCCGAUCGGGAGCGGCAAUGGGCGUCUCGCUGGAUCGGAAGCACAGCGGACACCCUGCCAGAUCCGGAGGGAUGGAAGUCAGCGGUGGGUCUGCGACGGCAGCAAACAGCAGCGGUGGGCGGCGAGUUAAAGCUCAGCUCGGGCCGUAACAAACACGGACCAGAAGAGUGCAGUUGCAAGAUUUAAUAGAGUGAAAUAGAAUAAAAACAGAGCUCCCAUACAAAGGGAGGGGACGGAAAGAGGGUAGCCGUUGCUGGCUCAAAUGCCUGGGUUUAUAUCCCGAUCAUUGUCCCUCCCCCUGUGCUGUCAGGCAAUAGAUGAUUUGCUAUUUCUUUACCUCCUGUUUUUACCUAAUUAGCAUUUUAGUGAGCUCUCUUUACUAUCUGAUUGGUCAGGUGUGAGCUAAGUUGCAAGCCCCGUGUUUAAAGGUGGAAGUGGUCACCUUCCCAGCUAGGCUUAGGGAUUCUUAGUCGGCCUGGGAAAUCCAGCUAGUCCUGUCUCUCAAUAUGAGUGCAGAGAGAAGAAAAAGGAAUCUGGGUGAGGCCAUCAACAGCAUGCACUACCUAGCCCCACCCUCAUUAUCUUUUUCUGUCAAGGGCUAGAUGGUAAAUACUUUAAGCUUUUGCCAGCCGUAUGGUCUUCAUCACAAGCACUCUUAUUUUAGCACAAAAGCAGCCAUAGGCAAUAUGCAAAUGAAUGGACAAGGCUGUGUUCCAAUACAAUUUUAUUUACAAGAACAGGCAACUGUAGCUUCUGUCUGUCCUCUUUCAGAGACAAGAAGAGAUCUUGGUCUAUCACUAGCACCAUGUGCAAGGAUCAGAUACGGACCGUAGGGGGAAAGAUCGGGCUUCUAAUCACAGCCCUGUGUCUCUGUAGCUCUUUCAGAUGCAAGUGCCAGAAACCCAAUGAAACAAGAAAUUUUCCUUGACCCUUUCGUGGGCCUCGCGACGGGGGUGCCUUACUUCCUCAGUCCGCAGCUCUCAACUCCUCAUGGUAGGGGGAGCACGCAGGAGCACCCAGUCUCUCCUACUAUAGGUGGACUUUAUUUCUGCACCAGGGAAGACAGACCUCUGCUAAUUCUGGACUCAAACACUGAUGGCUCUAGCCCUGGAGAAGAAAGAGGAUCUCCUUUAUCGAGGGCCAGCAGGUGAACCUUGCAAAACCCAGAACAGCCAGCCCUGAUCUUUGGUUUUGAUGGCGUGAGAAAUCACAGAACAAGGUUGAUGGCCUGCCGGCGUGCCCCAGCGUGCCGUUGUCUGCUGGUGCUUGUCAGUGUGCUCUUCCGCCAGUGUGUUCCUCUUGACAUCCAGCCACCUGUGAGUUCCUCCACCAAUGUGUUCCUCUCGACGUCCAGCGGCUUGUGUCUCUGCCUGCGAGGGUCUCAGAGUUUUUAUAGGUACAGGAUGGGGGCAUGAUGGGCCAGGGUGGUCUUGGGAAAUAUCAAAAUCGGUCAUGGGAAGAAGCAAAUGGGACAGAAUCCAGGAAAAGUUCCAAAUGCAGAGCUUCUGUGGUCUUCUCCCUGUAGAGUCAUGGACCAUGUUACUUUCCCUUCACUAAUGUAUGACAACACACACAAACUAUUACCAACGAGGGGAGCUCACCUGAGCCUUGGUGCCCAGAGUCCAUCUUGGG